GUUUCACAGUACCCUAACUUAUACGGUGUUGGUUCGUUGUCCUUAUAUUUCUUGUUGCCAAGUCUGCAUAGGGUGGCAAUACUAGUUAAUACAGGUGUUUUCUCCAAUAUUAGCCUGGAUAUUCAGACAAGCAGCAGUGUUUUCAUUGUGGUAUGGCCAUUGACACACCCUGGAUAUUGUUACAGUGACAGCUGAAGCAGAGGCCAGGUCAUAAGAGUUGGUAUUAUGUUGGACAGACACUUCUAUUGCCAUGUUGCAAGAAGCCACCAGGGCUAUUAUGACUACAUGGGACCUCAUUCAAACUCUGCACCACAAUCUAUAGUCUGCAGUUCAGGAUAGUAAUAUAACAGGAUAUUAUAGGAGAAAAGCAGGAUAAAUUAUCAAACUUUACUAGAAAACAUUAACAUCAGUGUGUUCACAUUAAGGAGCACCAAGUGGAGAAGAUUUAAAAUAACUGCUGCGGACAAG